GAUAAAACGAGUGAAAAACUCGUUCGCCGGAAGACCAAGGGUUCCUGUCCAACGUUAAUCGGGGCAGGGUGAGUCGGUCCCUAAGGCGAGGCUGAAAAGCGUAGUCGAUGGGAAACGGGUUAAUAUUCCCGUACUUGUCUUCAUUGCGAUGUGGGGACGGAGAAGGUUAGGUUAGCAGACUGUUGGAUGUCUGUUUAAGUUGGUAGGUGGGGAGCUUAGGCAAAUCCGGGCUCCUAUUAACACUGAGAGAUGAUGACGAGUUUCUACGGAGAUGAAGUAACUGAUACCACGCUUCCAGGAAAAGCCACUAAGCUUCAGAUGAAGAUAAACCGUACUGAAAACCGACACAGGUGGUCAGGUAGAGAAUACUCAGGCGCUUGAGAGAACUCGGGUGAAGGAACU
rnacentral:rRNA from 1 species